rnacentral:rRNA from 1 species
UAGUCAUAUGCUUGUCUCAAAGACUAAGCCAUGCAUGUCUAAGUAUAAGCGAUUUAUAGUGAAACUGCGAAUGGCUCAUUAAAACAGUUAUAGUUUAUUUGAUAAUCGAAUUUUACAUGGAUAACCGUGGUAAUUCUAGAGCUAAUACAUGCUGUUAAGCCUGACUUUUUGGAAGGGCUGUAUUUAUUAGAUACAAACCAAUAUUCCUUCGGGUCUAUUGUGAUGAUUCAAUAUAACUGAUCGAAUCGCAUGGUCUUGCACCGCGAUAAAUCAUUCAAGUUUCUGCCCCAUCAGCUUUCGAUGGUAGUGUAUUGGACUACCAUGGCUUUCACGGGUAACGGAGGAUUAGGGUUCGAUUCCGGAGAGGGAGCCUGAGAAACGGCUACCACAUCUAAGGAAGGCAGCAGGCGCGUAAAUUACCCAAUCCUGACUCAGGGAGGUAGUGACAAGAAAUAACAGACCGGAGCCUACGGUUCCGGGAUUGCAAUGAGUACAAUUUAGACUCCUUAACAAGUAACAAUUGGAGGGCAAGUCUGGUGCCAGCAGCCGCGGUAAUUCCAGCUCCAAUAGCGUAUAUUAAAGUUGUUGCAGUUAAAAAGCUCGUAGUUGGAUUUCUGUGAGAGUGCCGGUGUCGGCUGAUGCUUGUACGCAGGCGCUCUUACAUCCUUCUGUUAACUGUUCUUGGCAUUUUAUUGCUGGUUCAGGGCUCAGAUAUUUUACCUUGAGAAAAUUAGAGUGUUUCAGGCAGGCUUAUGCCGGAAUACAUUAGCAUGGAAUAAUGGAACAGGACCUGUGCGUCUCUCGGGGCGCCGGUCUCCGUUGUUGGUUUCGGGGACUAAUGUAAUGAUUAAUAGGGAUAGUUGGGGGCAUUAGUAUUUAAUAGUCAGAGGUGAAAUUCUCGGAUUUGUUAAAGACUAACUUAUGCGAAAGCAUUUGCCAAGGAUGUUUUCAUUAAUCAAGAACGAAAGUUAGGGGAUCAAAGACGAUCAGAUACCGUCCUAGUCUUAACCAUAAACUAUGCCGACUAGGGAUCGGAGGCGAGUACUAACAGCCUUCGGAACCUUAUGAGAAAUCAAAGUCUUUGGGUUCUGGGGGGAGUAUGGUCGCAAGGCUGAAACUUAAAGGAAUUGACGGAAGGGCACCACCAGGCGUGGAGCUUGCGGCUCAAUUUGACUCAACACGGGAAAACUUACCAGG